GAUGAACGCUGGCGGCGUGCCUAAUACAUGCAAGUCGAGCGAACAGACGAGGAGCUUGCUCCUCUGACGUUAGCGGCGGACGGGUGAGUAACACGUGGAUAACCUACCUAUAAGACUGGGAUAACUUCGGGAAACCGGAGCUAAUACCGGAUAAUAUAUUGAACCGCAUGGUUCAAUAGUGAAAGACGGUUUUGCUGUCACUUAUAGAUGGAUCCGCGCCGCAUUAGCUAGUUGGUAAGGUAACGGCUUACCAAGGCGACGAUGCGUAGCCGACCUGAGAGGGUGAUCGGCCACACUGGAACUGAGACACGGUCCAGACUCCUACGGGAGGCAGCAGUAGGGAAUCUUCCGCAAUGGGCGAAAGCCUGACGGAGCAACGCCGCGUGAGUGAUGAAGGUCUUCGGAUCGUAAAACUCUGUUAUUAGGGAAGAACGAAUGUGUAAGUAACUAUGCACGUCCUGACGGUACCUAAUCAGAAAGCCACGGCUAACUACGUG
rnacentral:rRNA from 1 species